rnacentral:rRNA from 1 species
UACGAAGGGGGCGAGCGUUGUUCGGAAUUACUGGGCGUAAAGGGCGCGUAGGCGGUCCGACAAGUCAGGGGUGAAAUCCUGCAGCUUAACUGCAGAAGUGCCUUUGAUACUGUCGGUCUUGAGGGAGAUAGGGGUGUGCGGAACUCACAGUGGAGCGGUGAAAUGCGUUGAUAUUGUGAGGAACGCCGGAGGCGAAAGCGGCGCACUGGAUCUCUUCUGACGCUGAGGCGCGAAAGCUAGGGGAGCAAACGGG